UGAAUCAUUUGUCGUGUUUUAAAGUUGACAUGGAUUUUUGAAUUCUUACACCGGAUGUACGUCCUGGACGAUAUGGUGAAAUGGGAAAUGCCCAGUUGACGGUAUCUCUUCAUUUGAGCAGCAGUCUUUCUGCAGUCAUCGGCAGCACUUCAUUAUGAAGUUGAAGUAAUAAGGACUUGGAGAAGGAAGGGCAAAAUGAAUUGGAACAGCAUGCAAACAACACUGGAAUGGAUUUCUUUGUUCUCUCUUUGCGGAGACUUCAUUGUUGGAGAUGGUAUUACAAAGACUUGGAGGAGGCUGGGCAUAUAGGAUUGGAACAGCAUGCCAACAACGCUAGAGUGGAGGUAUUGCUAAGUUGUUAAGGAAAAGCAGAGGUGAGUUGGUUUCAUUAUCAUUUUUGUACUCUUACUAAUUAGUACUAACAUUUCCCUCCCCUCCCCCACUCUCAACACAUUUUUUGUAGUAGUUCUUUCCUUUUGUUUUUUUUGUUCUGUUUUUUUUUUUCUUUGUCUAAUCUUCUCUGUUCUCUCUUUACCGGGAUGUCAUCGUUGGAGAUGGUGCACUUGGAAGCUGCUGGCUCUUCAUCGUUGGAGGAGGAGGCUGGGCAUAUUGGAUUGGAACAGCAUGCCAACAACGCUGGAACGGAGGUAUUGCUUAGUUGUUAAGGAAAAGCAGAGGUGAGUUGGUUUCAUUAUCAUUUUUGCACUCUUACUAAUUAGUACUAACAUUUCCUUCCCCUCCCCCACUAUCAACACAUUUUUUAUAGUAGUUCCUUCUUUUUGUUUUUUGUUCUGUUGUUUUUUCUUUGUCUAAUCUUCUCUGUUCUCUCUUUGCCGGGAUAUCAUCGUUGGAGAUGGUGCACAUGGAGGCUGCUGGUUCUUCAUCGUUGGAGGAGGCUGGGCAUAUUGGAUUGGAACAGCAUGCCAACAACGCUGGAACAGAGGUAUUGCUUAGUUGUUAAGGAAAAGCAGAGGUGAGUUGGUUUCAUUAUCAUUUUUGUACUCUUACUAAUUAGUACUAACAUUUCCCUCCCCUCCCCCACUCUCAACACAUUUUUUGUAGUAGUUCUUUCCUUUUGUUUUUUUUUGUUCUGUUUUUUUUUCUUUGUCUAAUCUUCUCUGUUCUCUCUUUACCGGGAUGUCAUUGUUGGAGAUGGUGCACUUGGAAGCUGCUGGCUCUUCAUCGUUGGAGGAGGAGGCUGGGCAUAUUGGAUUGGAACAGCAUGCCAA